rnacentral:lncRNA from 1 species
UAACGCAGUGCCUGUUCAGACUGAUUCAUUAGAGACUGAUUCAUUAGAGACUGAUUCAUUAGAGCUAGACUCAUAACGCAGUGCCUGUUCAGACUGAUUCAUUAGAGACUGAUUCAUUAGAGACUGAUUCAUUAGAGCUAGACUCAUAACACAGUGCCUGUUCAGACUGAUUCAUUAGAGACUGAUUCAUUAGAGACUGAUUCAUUAGAGCUAGACUCAUAACACAGUGCCUGUUCAGACUGAUUCAUUAGAGACUGAUUCAUUAGAGACUGAUUCAUUAGAGACUGAUUCAUUAGAGACUGAUUCAUUAGAGACUGAUUCAUUAGAGCUAGACUCAUAACACAGUGCCUGUUCAGACUGAUUCAUUAGAGACUGAUUCAUUAGAGACUGAUUCAUUAGAGACUGAUUCAUUAGAGCUAGACUCAUAACGCAGUGCCUGUUCAGACUGAUUCAUUAGAGACUGAUUCAUUAGAGACUGAUUCAUUAGAGACUGAUUCAUUAGAGACUGAUUCAUUAGAGCUAGACUCAUAACGCAGUGCCUGUUCAGACUGAUUCAUUAGAGACUGAUUCAUUAGAGACUGAUUCAUUAGAGCUAGACUCAUAACGCAGUGCCUGUUCAGACUGAUUCAUUAGAGACUGAUUCAUUAGAGACUGAUUCAUUAGAGCUAGACUCAUAACGCAGUGCCUGUUCAGACUGAUUCAUUAGAGACUGAUUCAUUAGAGACUGAUUCAUUAGAGCUAGACUCAUAACGCAGUGCCUGUUCAGACUGAUUCAUUAGAGACUGAUUCAUUAGAGACUGAUUCAUUAGAGACUGAUUCAUUAGAGACUGAUUCAUUAGAGACUGAUUCAUUAGAGACUGAUUCAUUAGAGACUGAUUCAUUAGAGACUGAUUCAUUAGAGACUGAUUCAUUAGAGACUGACUCAUAACACAGUGCCUGUUCAGAUUGAUUCAUUCAUUAGACUGUUUUGUUUGAAACAACAUGUUUAUGCCAGGGUUGGCGUCAAUUCAGGAAGUUAACUGAGAUUUCGAUUCAAAAUCCUAUUCUCUUUAUUGCUUUUCAAUGAGGAAAAUGUGGAAUUGGAAUUUGGUUUACUUUCUGAAUUGACUGAUAUUGAAAUGGAAUUGACCUCCCCUGCUUUCUGCUAAUCCUAAAACAUGGUUUAUGGUUAGCAGAAAGAGAGAGUACCGAGUCGUGCCUAAUGCUUUGAGUACUGACUUGUUUCGGGGCUUAAUGGUUUGAGUACUGAGUAGUGACUUGUUUCAGGGCUUAAUGCUUUGAGUACUGAGUAGUGACUUGUUUCAGGGCUUAAUGCUUUCAGUAGUGACUUGUUUCGGGGCUUAUUGCUUUGACUACUGACUUGUUUCGGGGCUUAAUGCUUUGAGUACUCAGCAGUGACUUGUUUCGGAGCUUAAUGCUUUGAGUAGUGACUUGUUUCGGGGCUUAAUGCUUUGAGUAGUGACUUGUUUCAGGGCUUAAUGCUUUGAGUAGUGACUUGUUUCGGGGCUUAAUCCUUUGAGUACUGAGUAGUGACUUGUUUCAGGGCUUAAUGCUUUGAGUAGUGACUUGUUUCGGGGCUUAAUGCUUUGAGUAGUGACUUGUUUCGGGGCUUAAUGCUUUGAGUAGUGACUUGUUUCGGGGCUUAAUGCUUUGAGUAGUUACUUGUUUCGGGGCUUAAUGCUUUGAGUAGUGACUUGUUUCGGGGCUUAAUGCUUUGAGUACUGAGUAGUGACUUGUUUCAGGGCUUAAUGCUUUGAGUAGUGACUUGUUUCGGGGCUUAAUGCUUUGAGUACUGAGUAGUGACUUGUUUCAGGGCUUAAUGCUUUGAGUAGUGACUUGUUUCGGGGCUUAAUGCUUUGAGUAGUGACUUGUUUCAGGGCUUAAUGCUUUGAGUAGUGACUUGUUUCGGGGCUUAAUGCUUUGAGUACUGAGUAGUGACUUGUUUCAGGGCUUAAUGCUUUGAGUAGUGACUUGUUUCGGGGCUUAAUGCUUUGAGUAGUGACUUGUUUCGGGGCUUAAUGCUUUGAGUACUGAGUAGUGACUUGUUUCAGGGCUUAAUGCUUUGAGUAGUGACUUGUUUCAGGGCUUAAUGCUUUGAGUAGUGACUUGUUUCGGGGCUUAAUGCUUUGAGUAGUGACUUGUUUCGGGGCUUAAUGCUUUGAGUAGUGACUUGUUUCAGGGCUUAAUGCUUUGAGUAGUGACUUGUUUCGGGGCUUAAUGCUUUGAGUAGUGACUUGUUUCGGGGCUUAAUGCUUUGAGUAGUGACUUGUUUCGGGGCUUAAUGCUUUGAGUACUCAGUAGUGACUUGUUUCGGGGCUUAAUGCUUUGAGUACUGAGUAGUGACUUGUUUCGGGGCUUAAUGCUUUGAGUAGUGACUUGUUUCGGGGCUUAAUGCUUUGAGUAGUGACUUGUUUCGGGGCUUAAUGCUUUGAGUACUGAGUAGUGACUUGUUUCGGGGCUUAAUGCUUUGAGUAGUGACUUGUUUCAGGGCUUAAUGCUUUGAGUAGUGACUUGUUUCAGGGCUUAAUGCUUUGAGUAGUGACUUGUUUCAGGGCUUAAUGCUUUGAGCAGUGACUUGUUUCGGGGCUUAAUGCUUUGAGUAGUGACUUGUUUCGGGGCUUAAUGCUUUGAGUAGUGACUUGUUUCGGGGCUUAAUGCUUUGAGUAGUGACUUGUUUCGGGGCUUAAUGCUUUGAGUAGUGACUCGUUUCAGUGCCUUUAUUGUAGAAUGACUUGUUGGUUGGUCUGUAGAUUGUUUUCAGAUGCCACCUCCCCUUCUCUUCAAGCCCAGCUCUCCUAUCUCUCAGAGUUUGUGGACAGGACAGGUUCCUACCCUUUUUAAAAUGUACGUGUGAUCAGGGUGGUUGGCAGGUAGCCAAGGAGCGCUGCAGUUUCCCCCAAGCAACUCGUGUCAAGCAGAUCACACAAUUUACCACGGCCUACAGCAGGACUGGUCUACAGGGUAAUAGUAGUGUGGGUAGGAGCCAGUGUCUGGAGUUAGACCAGAUUAAUAACCCACUGUCUGGAGUUAGACCAGAUUAACAGCAUUAAUAACCCACUGUCUGGAGUUAGACCAGAUUAACGGCAUUAAUAACCCACUGUCUGGAGUUAGACCAGAUUAACGGCGUUAAUAACCCAUCUGGAAUUAGACCAGAUUAACGGCAUUAAUAACCCACUGUCUGGAAUUAGACCAGAUUAACGUCAUUAAUAACCCACUGUCUGGAGUUAGACCAGAUUAAUAACCCACUGUCUGGAAUUAGACCAGAUUAACGUCAUUAAUAACCCACUGUCUGGAGUUAGACCAGAUUAACAACCCACUGUCUGGAGUUAGACCAGAUUAACGGCAUUAAUAACCCACUUCUGGAAUUAGACCAGAUUAACAACCCACUGUCUGGAGUUAGACCAGAUUAACGUCAUUAAUAACCCACUGUCUGGAGUUAGACCAGAUUAACGGCGUUAAUAACCCACUGUCUGGAGUUAGACCAGAUUAACGUCAUUAAUAACCCACUGUCUGGGGUUAGACCAGAUUAAUAUCCCACUGUCUGGAGUUAGACCAGAUUAACGUCAUUAAUAACCCACUGUCUGGGGUUAGACCAGAUUAAUAACUCACUGUCUGGAGUUAGACCAGAUUAACAACUCACUGUCUGGGGUUAGACCAGAUUAAUAUCCCACUGUCUGGAGUUAGACCAGAUUAACGACAUUAAUAACCCACUGUCUGGAGUUAGACCAGAUUAACGUCAUUAAUAUGCCUCUGUCUGGAGUUAGACCUUAGACCAGAUUAACAACCCACUGUCUGGAGUUAGACCAGAUUAACGGCGUUAAUAACCCAUCUGGAAUUAGACCAGAUUAACAACCCACUGUCUGGAGUUAGACCAGAUUAACGGCGUUAAUAACCCACUGUCUGGGGUUAGACCAGAUUAACGGCAUUAAUAACCCACUGUCUGGAGUUAGACCAGAUUAACGUCAUUAAUAACCCAUCUGGAAUUAGACCAGAUUAACAACCCACUGUCUGGAGUUAGACCAGAUUAACGUCAUUAAUAACCCACUGUCUGGGGUUAGACCAGAUUAACGGCAUUAAUAACCCACUGUCUGGAGUUAGACCAGAUUAACGUCAUUAAUAACCCACUGUCUGGAGUUAGACCAGAUUAACGGCGUUAAUAACCCACUGUCUGGAGUUAGACCAGAUUAACGUCAUUAAUAACCCACUGUCUGGAGUUAGACCAGAUUAACGCCAUUAACAACCCACUGUCUGGGGUUAGACCAGAUUAACAUCAUUAAUAACCCAGUGUCUGGAGUUAGACCAGAUUAACGUCAUUAAAAACCCACUGUCUGGAAUUAGACCAGAUUAACGUCAUUAAUAACCCACUGUCUGGAGUAAAACCAGAUUAACGUCAUUAAUAACCCACUGUCUGGGGUUAGACCAGAUUAACGUCAUUAAUAACCCACUGUCUGGAGUUAGACCAGAUUAACGCCAUUAACAACCCACUGUCUGGGGUUAGACCAGAUUAACAUCAUUAAUAACCCAGUGUCUGGAGUUAGACCAGAUUAACGCCAUUAACAACCCACUGUCUGGGGUUAGACCAGAUUAACAUCAUUAAUAACCCAGUGUCUGGAGUUAGACCAGAUUAACGUCAUUAAUAACCCACUGUCUGGAGUUAGACCAGAUUAAUAACCCACUGUCUGGGGUUAGACCAGAUUAACGUCAUUAAUAACCCACUGUCUGGAGUUAGACCAGAUUAAUAACCCACUGUCUGGAGUUAGACCAGAUUAAUAACCCACUGUCUGGAGUUAGACCAGAUUAAUAACCCACUGUCUGGAGUUAGACCAGAUUAACGUCAUUAACAACCCACUGUCUGGAGUUAGACCAGAUUAAUAACCCACUGUCUGGGGUUACACCAGAUUAACGGCGUUAAUAACCCACUGUCUGGAGUUAGACCAGAUUAACGUCAUUAAAAACCCACUUCACAUAAAAUAGUGUCUGUUUUGCACUGAAUUUUAAAACAACCCAUUUAUCAAACGGAUAGCGUUAGAAAUUAGUCUGCACUGCUUCCGUGAUAAUGAAUGACAAAUUAGCAUGCUGUUAUUGAUAUGCUAUUAUGGACCACCACCAUGACUGGUAACAUGAACGACCUGAAUGUUUAGGCUUCUGACACAUUUACCUGUCCUGGAAUGACUGCAGCCUUGUAUCGUACUGUGAUGACCUGGGAUGUGUUCAUUAGGGACGAAACAGAAGAAACCUGAUUUAAAACUACCUGCACUAGUAGUCCAAUAACAAACACUAAUGUAUAUUUUCCCUGUUGUUAAAACAUUUUUUGCUACGGUGUGGCCUACUGAACACUAACCCUUCUUUUUUUAAGAGGUCAAAUGGCACAUAGGGGUUGAAAGUAGUGCACUUUUUUAUUAGUGGAUAGGUUGCCAGUUGGGACACUGGUCCCUGUGUGUGUGUCUGGCAGGGAUGUUACGGUUACAGAAGGCUGUGUCACAAAGGGCAUCCUAUUCUCUAUGUAAUACACUGCUUUGGAUCAGGCUAGCUUUAGCUUUGGAUCAGGCUAGCUUUAGCUUUGGAGCAGGCUAGCUUUAGCUUUGGAGCAGGCUAGCUUUAGCUUUGGAUCAGGCUAGCUUUAGCUUUUUAGCAGGCUAGCUUUAGCUUUGGAGCAGGCUAGCUUUAGCUUUGGAUCAGGCUAGCUUUAGCUUUGGAGCAGGCUAGCUUUAGCUUUGGAUCAGGCUAGCUUUAGCUUUGGAUCAGGCUAGCUUUAGCUUUGGAUCAGGCUAGCUUUAGCUUUGGAGCAGGCUAGCUUUAGCUUUGGAUCAGGCUAGCUUUAGCUUUGGAGCAGGCUAGCUUUAGCUUUGGAACAGGCUAGCUUUGCUCGGUUUAUGUAGUCCCCUUAACUAUUGCUGUUGUGUGAUUUUUUUUUUUUAAUGUCAAUGAUCUUUCACUUUAUGCGUCCUCGGCACCACUGUUUUUAUUUUUUCAUUCAUGCUGUACUGUGAUUUUGUUGUUGUUGUUGUUAUUUGUUUUGUUUAUAAUGAAACUGUUCUCUCUGUCCACUAAUUACAAUUAAUAAAUAAACUUACCUCUGAGUUUAAAGGUCUCA